rnacentral:lncRNA from 1 species
UAGCAGUCACUCCCAAUUCUCUUCUUCCACCCAUUCCCUGGAAACCACUAAUCUACUUUCCGUCUCUUUGGAUUUAACUACUCAGGACAUUUUAUAUGAUGAAUCCAUUUGGAGAGGAAGCCUCAGGACUUCCAAGGACACGAACUUGUCAGGAUGCUCCCAGAACUGAUCAACAAAAAAGGAAAGAUCAAAAGAAAGAGAGAGAGAAAGAAAAGGAAGGAUGGAAGGAAGGAAGGAAGGAAGGAAAGAAGGAAGGAAGGAAGCAAACUGCGGAGAAACUCACAAUCCAGACAAGACGUCCGCUCAAUUUUGGAUUGUAUCAUUCCAGAAUUUUCCACAACAUACUUAAUUAGCCUCUAAUUUUUUUAAUAAAACAUUUCUAACAUUGUGCUAUUUUAAACCAUAAACAUUCUUAUAUCUUGAA